UCCUCUCCAUCUAAACCUAACCCUAGCGCCGCCUCUUCCCCCUUUCCCUCUUUCCGCCGGAUUGCCAAAAAUGGCAUCAACACAGAGUGCUUAGACAUGUAUCAGCUUAGCACGUCCAAAUUGCUGCAACAUCAAAUUUUUUUCAUCUCUCUCUUCCAAAUUCUACCCAAACAACGCCUACAAGGUAAAAAACACUCUUGUUUUCACUUUUCUUGGUCAAAACUUACAGUUUAUGAUGUUGGUGUUGCUAUCUUCAAAUUUUUUCAAGCUUAAUUUCUAUUUGUCCAUAGUUGUUGGUUCGGAUCAACACAAAACAAGAUAGAUCUGAUCAUUUACACUCGUUUUUGUAGAAUCUAGUCAUUAAUUUCAUAGUAACACAUUUUGCAUAUGAAAAUUUAUUUUGUACCACAUCAACAUUUCAAGUCUUUGAACGAAUUUUGAGGUUCUAUAAAUAUAACCCCAACCCUCACCGUUUAAAGAAAAUGAGUUUUGGGGGACAACCUGAAAAAGCUAGAAUUUUAAGUUUAACUUGAAGUUUAAGCUUAAUAGUAUAAUUUAGACUUAAACCUAUUUUAAAAGAGUUGAGUCUCUUAGUUCUAAAAUUUAUUUACUUUUGCUUUGUGUUGCUGAGUGUGGGAUUGGAAGCACAAGGCUCCAAGUUCGACUCUUGAUACGACUGCACACAAAAACGCCAAUUGGGCCUGGUCAAACCAAGCAUGCUGGGCUGAGGCCCAACAGACCAAUUCUUUCAAGUUAUGGUUGAGUCCAACGAAGAAAUGGAAGCUAACACAUAUAUUAAAUGCGUAGGAGGCCCAGCCAUGGGUAAAAAUAUCCAACUAGGGGCUUGGCACGCCCCUAGCCUGCCUUUGUCCUUUCUACUUUUAUUUAUUCAUGCUCUCUUUUAUUUGUGAGUUUGUUGUAUUUGUACUUGUAAGAACUUGUAAAAACCUCAUAAUUUAUUGGAAUCCUUAUUGUA